rnacentral:rRNA from 1 species
GCGACCCCAGGUCAGGCGGGAUCACCCGCUGAGUUUAAGCAUAUCAAUAAGCGGAGGAGAAGAAACUUACAAGGAUUCCCCUAGUAACGGCGAGCGAAC